GACGAACGCUGGCGGCGUGCUUAACACAUGCAAGUCGAACGAAGAGCGAUGGAAGCUUGCUUCUAUCAAUCUUAGUGGCGAACGGGUGAGUAACGCGUAAUCAACCUGCCCUUCAGAGGGGGACAACAGUUGGAAACGACUGCUAAUACCGCAUACGAUCUGACCUCGGCAUCGAGGAUAGAUGAAAGGUGGCCUCUACAUGUAAGCUAUCACUGAAGGAGGGGAUUGCGUCUGAUUAGCUAGUUGGAGGGGUAACGGCCCACCAAGGCGAUGAUCAGUAGCCGGUCUGAGAGGAUGAACGGCCACAUUGGGACUGAGACACGGCCCAGACUCCUACGGGAGGCAGCGGUGGGGAAUCUUCCGCAAUGGACGAAAGUCUGACGGAGCAACGCCGCGUGAGUGAUGACGGCCUUCGGGUUGUAAAGCUCUGUUAAUCGGGACGAAAGGCCUUUUUGCGAAUAGUGAGAAGGAUUGACGGUACCGGAAGAGAAAGCCACGGCUAACUACGUG
rnacentral:rRNA from 1 species